rnacentral:rRNA from 1 species
CAGUCGCCGCGGUAAUACAGAGGGUGCGAGCGUUAAUCGGAUUUACUGGGCGUAAAGCGUGCGUAGGCGGCUUCUUAAGUCGGAUGUGAAAUCCCUGAGCUUAACUUAGGAAUUGCAUUCGAUACUGGGAAGCUAGAGUAUGGGAGAGGAUGGUAGAAUUCCAGGUGUAGCGGUGAAAUGCGUAGAGAUCUGGAGGAAUACCGAUGGCGAAGGCAGCCAUCUGGCCUAAUACUGACGCUGAGGUACGAAAGCAUGGGAAGCAAACAGGAUUAGAUACCCCCGUAGUCCCUGUCUCUUAUAC